ACCCUUGUGCUCAUGGGCCUGGUCUCCUCUCAAGACACAGUCAGUUGCUGGGGGUCAGAGGCCGCACUCAUCAUAGCAGAGACGCAGGACCAGCUUGGAGAGGACCCUUCCAUGACACCUACGGCAUCACCGGGCUGUGUGGAGGGGCUCAGCCGCCAGAACUCACGGGAUAUCAUUCUGCACCGAAACCCCACAGGAAAAAUGCCAGACUUAAACAGCAGCACCGGCUCCUCCCAAUAUCUCCAACUUCCCAGCACCCUGACCCUCAAGCUUCAACUGCAGCACGAGCUCCUCCCCGGUCUCCAGCUCCACGAUCCUCAAACUACAACAGCAGCACCAGCUCCCCACUGGAUCUCCAGCUCAAUGACUCUCGGACUUGACAGGCAGCACCGGCUCCCCGCAAAGACUCUAAGCUCCACUAUCCUCAACCUAGAACAGCAGCACCAGCUCCUCCUUGGUCUUCAGCUCCACGAUCCUCAACCUAGAACAGCAGCACCAGCUCCUCCCUGGAUCUCCAGCUCAAUGACUCUCUGACUUGAAAGGCAGCACCAGCUCCUCACAAAGCCUCCAGCUCCAAGACCCUCAAACUAGAACAAGUCUGAGGGUCGUGGAGCUGCAGACCCAGGGAGGAGUCAGUGCUGCUUUUCUAGUCUGAGGGUCCUGGAUCUAGAGACCCAGGGUGGAGCUGGUGCUGCUGUUCUGGUUUGAAGGUCGUGGAGUUGGAGACCCAGGGAGGAACCAUUUGAACAGCAGCACUGGCUCCUCCCCGGGUCUCAGGCUCCACAAUCCUCAAACUACAACAGCAGCACCGGCUCCCCACUGGAUCUCCAGCUCAAUGACUCAGACUUGACAGGCAGCACCGGCUCCCCUCAAAGGCUCUAAGCUCCACGAUCCUCAACCUAGAACAGCAGCACUGGCUCCUCCCCGGUCUUCAGCUCCACGAUCCUCAGACUUUAGAAGCUGUAAUACCGGCUUCUCCCUGGGUUUCCAGCUAUGUAACCCUCAGACAUGAACCGCAGCAGCACCGGCUCCUCCCCAUCUCCAGUUCCACGAGCCUCAAAAUAGAACAGCAUCACCAGCUCCUCCCUGGAUCUCCAGCUUCCAAACCCUCAAACUUCAAAUGAAGCACCGGAUCCUCCCCACGGUUGAACAGCAGCACGGGCUCCUCCCCCAAAGCUCCAGGUCCACAGCCCUCUGACUUAAAUGGGAGUAGCACCGGCUCCUCCCUAGGUCUCCAGCUCCACAACCC